AUGACUAAAAGCCUUAACAUCGCCUCGUGGAAUGUUCGGGGUCUUGGACGCCCGAACAAAUGUGUUGAUGUAAAAAAAGCCUUACAAUCUGCCCAAGGUUUGAUCCUUUGCCUUCAAGAAACUAAGCUGCAAGAUAUUCCACCUUUUAAGGCUGUCUCUUUUCUGCCGAUCGGCCUUAGAAACUUCCAUUACCUCCCGUCGGUUGGGGCAUCUGGGGGGCUGCUAAUCGCUUGGGACGACGCUAAUCUAGAGUGCACUAACGUUCAUCUAGACCGGUUCUUCAUCACGUGUUGGUUCUCCUUCCGGGCAACUGACGUUUCCUUCGCUAUUACCAACGUAUAUGGGCCGUGCGAUCUUUCCCUUAAACAAGAAUUCUUGGACUCCCUAAUCCUUGCGUCGUCUACGAUUACUUGCCCCUGGCUGGUAUUCGGGGAUUUCAACCUUAUUCUUCGCCCAAGAGACAAAUCUUCCAACCACUUUAACUCUAACGAAGCUAGGCUAUUUGCUUCGGCCAUUAACUCCAUGCAGCUCCAAGAAAUCCCGCUCCUAGACCGUCUCUACACGUGGUCUAAUCAA
rnacentral:rRNA from 1 species